UUUCACACCAAAGUAGGAUUUUGAAUGCUUUUUUGAGCCUCAGAUGGACGGAAUUGUUGGUUUACAAUUUUUGACUUAUACUUUAAAUGUCAAUUUUGCUAAGAUGAACCUUUGAAUGAAUUUUCUUCAUAGGUAUUCUUUUUUUAUGACUGUGGGUGUUCGGGCCAACUUACGAGCACCUUGACUAAUCCCACGGGCCCUGUACUUUACAGCCGGGAUACUUACCUCAGUGGCCCUAAGAGGACUCAAACUAGUGACCAUUGAAGAGCAAACCCAAAGCAAGCUACCUCUUAGGGUUAAUGUUCUUCAUUGGUCAUAAACGAUGGCUUUAUUGGAAGACUCAUUUUUCAGAUACAGGACGGUAAUUUUUUUUAGUUUGUUUUUACUGUUUGAUUAUAAAUAUAAUUCAUUUUUAUAAUUUGUUUGUUGAUUUUUUUUUUUUUUUUUAAAAAAAUUGGGGGUUUCUGGAUGUUUACUGUUUUGAUGAUUGUAAUAGGAUUUGAAGUAGGCAACUAUAAAGGGAUUUGGAUUACCAACAGAGAGAUAUUCGUUUGAUUUGGGUGGCUCGUUAGUGGGUAAAUCUGUAGCAUAUGAAUUUGAUGUUCAAAUUGAUAAUAAAGUUCUUCCACUUAAGCUUAUGGAAUAUAGAGAAUGUGAACUAAUUGAAGCAAGUAGAUUUACCCAUUUUUUGAGUAGACAUGAGGAAAGUGAAUAGGUGGAAAGUCGGCGACUGGACCAUCAGAUGCUUGUCUUGGCGCCUGUUCCAGUUGGUUGGUCCAAUGAAAUUGUGGAUUCAGGAUACGAAGAAUAUAAGGAUUUCACUACUGGUAAGUUCAAGUUGCAAUGAUCUGUUUA
rnacentral:lncRNA from 1 species